rnacentral:lncRNA from 1 species
GCACCUGGGCCCGCUGACAGCUUCACGCCCACCGCUGCCUAUAAACACGCGGGGAUUGGCUCUCCUGCCCGUCCGUCAGAACGUGCGCCGCGCUCUUACUGGCUAGCUCUCUUAUUUAUAACCCGCCCUCAAGGGCUGGCCAAUGAGAGCGUAGCGCCCUUAGCAACGCCCCUCUCUCUUUCCUGCCGCUGGCUCCUGCGAUCGUCCUGGGAGUUGUUGUCCCUGCUCCCGUUGGUCGAGGUACCUGCCACUCAAGCGCUCCUUAGCCAAUUAGAAAAGAGCACUCACGUGGAUUACCUGCGAACCCCUCCGCGCCUGCCUUCCCCUCCUCCAUUGGCCACACCCCGCCGUCCAUCAACCCUCUCCGCGCUCCGAUUGGCUACGGGGGAGGGCGGCGGGUGUCGGGGUGCCGCCCCUCCUCCGGGGGCGGCUCAGUGGUGGUGGCGGCGGCGGCGGAGGCGGACGCAGAGGGAGGAGCCGCGACGCUCCGCGGCCCCCGCGCCCCGCAGCCGGGCUCGCUCCUCACAUGGGGCCCCCUCGCCUCCCCUCGGCGGGCCGCUGAGGAGCCGGGCAGGCCGCCAUGACAGCCCCCGCCGGCCGCAGGCCCCGCUGGCGCCGCCGCCGCUGCUCAGAUAGUUCUUUCUUCAUCUCCCUGAAAAGCAACCAAACGUUAGGUCGCUGCUCUCAGAUCAAAAAGAAUUAUUUAAGUACGCUUGGAAGAUCCUGGGCACCUUCUCUGCAGCUGAGGAGCUUCCCUGGGCGAUUUUGUCUCCCCGGGGAAACAGAGCGGGCUUUGUCUUCCCGUGGUGCUCCUGUACCAUUUCCAGACCUUCAGGGCUCGUGGGGCAGGAAUAUGAGGUCAGAAAUUGGAUCCUGAUCUUCUCUGUGGCAGCCGGCCAUGCUAUAACGUUAGAUGAUGUAGUGCUAGCAUCUGAAAAGCGCAGGAAGCUCACGCACGGGGGAGUCUGCACAUAAAGUUCUGUAGGAAUACCACAAUGUGGGAUGCGAGAGAGAUUAAAUUUUCUUAAGCAGGCCCUGGUAAGGGUGUCUUAUAACAUCCUCCCCAUCCUGACCCUCAUUCGGAGAGGUGAGUUUUAAGAUAUUUGAAAUUAACACCACCACAGACCUUGAGAGGGGGGGGUUGGGGUAGAGUUUUUGU